CGUGGGCGUAGGAAGUUUGAGGAGAGCUGCCCUCAGUACGAGAGGACCGGGGUGGACAGACCAAUGGUGCACCAGUUGUCACGCCAGUGGCACAGCUGGGUAGCUAAGUCUGGAAGGGAUAAACGCUGAAGGCAUCUAAGUGUGAAGCCCCCUCCAAGAUGAGACUUCCCAUUCUUCGGAAGUAAGACCCCUCAAAGACGAUGAGGUUGAUAGGUCAGAGGUGUAAGCGCAGCGAUGUGCGAAGCUGACUGAUACUAAUAGGUCGAGGACUUAACCAGAA
rnacentral:rRNA from 1 species